rnacentral:tRNA from 1 species
AGCGAACAUAGUUUAGAGGUAAAAUAUCGCCUUGCCAAGGCGAGGUCGGGGGUUCGAUUCCCCCUGUUCGCAA